CUGGCGGGCACACAGUGCAAUGUGAAAGCAGGUGUGCGUGCACACCCACACCCGCAUGCCCACACAUCCAUACAGUCCACACCAUCACACACACACACCCACACACAUCCAUACAGUCCAUACCAUCACACACACCCGCACACAUCCAUACAGUCCACACCAUCACACACACACCCGCACACAUCCAUACAGUCCACACCAUAACACACACACAUCCAUAUAGUCCACACCAUCAUACACACACACAUCUCUACAGUCCACACCAUCACAUGCACACACACAUCUAUAUGGUCUACACCGUCACACACACACACACAUCUAUACAGUCCACACCGUCACAUAUCUGUACAGUCCACACCGUCACACACACACGCCCACACCCGCAUGCCACACAUCCAUACAGUCCACAUUCACGUAUGCCCAUAUGCAUCCAUUCACACGUGUGUACACAUGCUCACACACACACAUUCAUAGACUCCACACAUGCACACGUGCACACACACGCACAUGCUCGCACACAUGCACAGAUACACUCACGUCCACACACGCUCAAACAUGCGUGCACACCCGGAGGUGCCCAGAGGGGCAGGGUGGGGAGGACC
rnacentral:lncRNA from 1 species